rnacentral:rRNA from 1 species
CCUACGGGAGGCAGCAGUGAGGAAUAUUGGUCAAUGGACGAGAGUCUGAACCAGCCAAGUAGCGUGAAGGAUGACUGCCCUAUGGGUUGUAAACUUCUUUUAUAUGGGAAUAAAACGUUCCACGUGUGGGAUUUUGUAUGUACCAUAUGAAUAAGGAUCGGCUAACUCCGUGCCAGCAGCCGCGGUAAUACGGAGGAUCCGAGCGUUAUCCGGAUUUAUUGGGUUUAAAGGGAGCGUAGGUGGAUUGUUAAGUCAGUUGUGAAAGUUUGCGGCUCAACCGUAAAAUUGCAGUUGAAACUGGCAGUCUUGAGUACAGUAGAGGUGGGCGGAAGUCGUGGUGGAGCGGUGAAAUGCUUAGAUAUCACGAAGAACUCCGAUUGCGAAGGCAGUUCACUGGACUGCAACUGACACUGAGGCUCGAAAGUGUGGGUAUCAAACAGGAUUAGAUACCCCAGUAGUC